AAUUUGCGUGAAGGAUUGAAGCGAUAUCCUUUUUGUUUUUCUCAAAAAGAUUUAGCGUAAAGCCUGACCUUUA
rnacentral:sRNA from 1 species